rnacentral:rRNA from 1 species
GACGUAGGAUGCGAGCGUUGUCCGGAUUUAUUGGGCGUAAAGAGUUCGUAGGCGGUUUGUUAAGUCUGAUGUUAAAAACUGAGGCUCAACCUCGGGACUGCAUUGGAUACUGGCAAGCUGGAGUACAGUAGAGGCAAGUGGAAUUUCCAGUGUAGCGGUGAAAUGCGUAGAUAUUGGGAAGAACACCAGUGGCGUAAGCGACUUGCUGGGCUGUAACUGACGCUGAGGAACGAAAGCCAGGGGAGCGAAUGGG